UACUCCCCAAAACACACUUUUGACUUAAUGAAGACACUAAGUACAACCCUUUUCAACCGUGCGCCCGGCGCACAGAGAACUUUUUCUGCGGUUAAACUAGCAAAAGUGGAUCCGUACACGCCCUAAACGCUGCUGCUCCAGGCGUUCACCGCCGUGCACUUAGACCGUU